rnacentral:rRNA from 1 species
CUACGGGUCGCACCAGUGAGGAAUUUUGCGCAAUGGGGGGAACCCUGACGCAGCAACGCCGCGUGAGUGAUGAAGGCUUUCGGGUCGUAAAGCUCAGUCAAGUGGGAAGAACCUAUGCAGUGUUAAUAUCACUGUAUACUGACGGUACCACUGAAGGAAGCACCGGCUAACUCCGUGCCAGCAGCCGCGGUAAUACGGGGGGUGCAAGCGUUAUUCGGAAUCAUUGGGCGUAAAGGGCACGUAGGCGGCUUGGUAAGUCAGAUGUGAAAGCCCGGGGCUUAACCCCGGAAGUGCAUUUGAUACUGUCAGGCUUGAGUAUGGGAGAGGGAAGUGGAAUUCCUGGUGUAGAGGUGAAAUUCGUAGAUAUCAGGAGGAACACCGGUGGCGAAGGCGACUUCCUGGACCAAUACUGACGCUGAGGUGCGAAGGCGUGGGUAGCAAACAGGAUUAGAUACCCCAGUAGUC